UACGUAGGGGGCGAGCGUUAUCCGGAAUCAUUGGGCGUAAAGCGCACGCAGGCGGCCUGCCAAGUUCAGGGUGACAGCCACCGGCUUAACUGGUGGAGCGCCUUGAAAACUGGCAGGCUUGGAGGACGAGAGAGGGAUAUGGAAUUCCGGGUGGAGCGGUGAAAUGCGUAGAUAUCCGGAGGAACACCGAUGGCGAAGGCAGUAUCCUGGCUCGUUCCUGACGCUCAGGUGCGAAAGCUAGGGGAGCAAACAGG
rnacentral:rRNA from 1 species